rnacentral:lncRNA from 1 species
GGAAACUCAAUAACCAUUUCAAUGAUGAACCUUGCUGGGUUUUUUUAAUCCUGUAAGGCCCUUUGACCUACAGGUUGUUGAUAGCCACAUGCUACCUCUAAUGCUGAUUUUCAUGGUGUACUCCUUUUGAGAAUGCUCCUCGUCCUGUUGAAUGCAUGCUUCAGAAACAACCCGCCCAUCUGCGGAUUUUCUUGCAGACAUGAUGAGACCAGCAGCCAUUCUCAGGGUGACUCACUCUUUGGAAUGAAACACAGUUGGCAAGGGGUUACUCUUAAAGAAGUACCUGUGUUCUAUUCAUACAUUGCAUAAAGAAGUCCUCUUUGCUUAAGUAAACUGCUACUUAUGUUUUCUGUCUUAAGAUGGCCUGAGGACCAGAUGAUAAGCCAAGCAUUCGGUCUUUCCUACAUAAAG